GAUGAACGCUGGCGGCGUGCCUAAUACAUGCAAGUCGAGCGAACAGAUACGGCGCUUGCUCCUUUGACGUUAGCGGCGGACGGGUGAGUAACACGUGGGUCACCUACCUAUCAUACUGGAAUAACUCCGGGAAACCGGCUCUAAUGCCGUAUAACAUUUAGAACCGCAUGGUUCUUAAGUGAAAUAUGGCUUUGCUAUCUCUUCUAGAUGGACCUGCGCCGUAUUAGCUAGUUGUUAAGUUAACGGGCUACCAAGGCAACGAUACGUAGACGACCUGAGAGAGUGAUCGGCCGCACUGGAGCGUAGACACGGUCAAGAGUACUACGGGAGGCAGCAGUAGGGAAUCGGCGGCAAUGGGCGAAAGCCUGACGGAGCAACGCCGCGUGAGUGAUGAAGGUCUUGGGAGCGUAAAACUGGGUUAUGAGGGAAGAACAAAUGUCUAAGUAAAUGAGGACGUCGUGACGGUACCUGAUAAGAAAGCAACGGCUAACUACGUG
rnacentral:rRNA from 1 species